rnacentral:rRNA from 1 species
CCCUUAGACGUUCUGGGCCGCACGCGCGCUACACUGACCAGUGCAACAAGCAUCCGUCCUUGGCCGACAGGCUCGGGCAAUCUUUGAACGCUGGUCGUGAUGGGGAUAGACUUUUGCAAUUUUUGGUCUUCAACGAGGAAUUCCUAGUAAACGCAAGUCAUCAACUUGCAUUGAUUACGUCCCUGCCCUUUGUACACACCGUCCGUCGCACCUACCGAUUGAAUGGUCCGGUGAAGCCUCCGGAUUGGCGCGCACCUCGGUGCCGCCGAGAAGUUGGCUAAACCUUACCAUUUAGAGGAAGGUGAAGUCGUAACA